rnacentral:lncRNA from 1 species
GUUUCUUUUGGGUCUCACUUCAUCAGUGUGCAUUGUGUCUGAAAUUAUAAAGAAGGUUGAAAGGAGCAGGGAAAAGACUCAGAAGAACGCUACUUCAACACCAUCGUCUUUUCUUGAAUUUUACCCCAAGAUUUAAUCAUCUUAGCUGUCCAGAACUCCUUUUGUUACUUGAACUACUAAUUGAAGAUUGACGUGUCCAAAGCCUCAGGUUUGAAAUCUCGGUAUGUUCCCAUCUGAACUAAUGCUUCCCACGGUGCUUACCAAGUUAGGUUUGGCUCUGGCAGAGGAGUGGACAGCAGCUGAUUGAGAUACAAGCCCAUCUGGAGACAGGACUGCCACUGACAGAAGACGUGGGCUGUGUCUAAAUCCAAUCUGGGACCCGGCCGCAUGGCUGCCUUCACCUGUUGUAAUUCUUCAUACAGCAUCUUGGCACCACCUCUCCGUGGAUCUUCACUAUCUACGUAAAACAACCCAAAGACAGCGUUUCCAGACACUGCAUCAGUUUGCCCUUCCCCACAUUCCAUCAUCAAAGCCACAAAGACAAUCAGUGUGAAAACUGGUCGCUUUUCUUUUCUGGUUUCAUAAAUGUCUUCCAUACAC